rnacentral:rRNA from 1 species
UAUAAUGCAAGUCGAGCGCGGGAAGCGAGUGGAAGUCCUUCGGGACGGAUACUCGUGGAACGAGCGGCGGACGGGUGAGUAACACGUGGGCAACCUACCUGUAAGACCGGAAUAACCCCGGGAAACCGGGGCUAAUGCCGGGUAACCAUUCGGUUCUCCUGAACCGAAUGUAAAAGGAUGGCUUCUUGCUAUCGCUUACAGAUGGGCCCGCGGCGCAUUAGCUAGUUGGUAAGGUAACGGCUUACCAAGGCGACGAUGCGUAGCCGACCUGAGAGGGUGAUCGGCCACACUGGGACUGAGACACGGCCCAGACUCCUACGGGAGGCAGCAGUAGGGAAUCUUCCGCAAUGGACGAAAGUCUGACGGAGCAACGCCGCGUGAACGAUGAAGGUCUUCGGAUCGUAAAGUUCUGUUGUGAGGGAAGAACAAGGACCGUGCGAACAGAACGGUCCCUUGACGGUACCUCACGAGGAAGCCCCGGCUAACUACGUGCCAGCAGCCGCGGUAAUACGUAGGGGGCAAGCGUUGUCCGGAAUUAUUGGGCGUAAAGCGCACGCAGGCGGUUCCUUAAGUCUGAUGUGAAAGCCCGUGGCUCAACCACGGAGGGCCAUUGGAAACUGGGGAACUUGAGAACUGAAGAGGAGAGUGGAAUUCCACGUGUAGCGGUGAAAUGCGUAGAUAUGUGGAGGAACACCAGUGGCGAAGGCGACUCUCUGGUCGGUUUCUGACGCUGAGGUGCGAAAGCGUGGGUAGCAAACAGGAUUAGAUACCCUGGUAGUCCACGCCGUAAACGAUGAGUGCUAGGUGUUAGGGGCUUCCACCCCU